rnacentral:rRNA from 2 species
GGAGUACGACCCACUGCUUAGUAUAUGCACGUGCUUCGGUGCGAGCAAUACACAUUAAACUAUAGAGACCGCUGUUUCUUCUUUAAACCAGAGGAAGGAUACGGCAAUAACAGGUCUGUGAUGCCCUCAGAUGUUCCGGGCUGCACACGUGCUACAAUGAUCAUUGCACUGUGCAUCUAACCCAAUGUGCGUGGACGCCGCAUGCAUGUACUCCUUGUGGGUACACGCAUUGCUGAGCGACCACGCCGAACCUACUUCGAAAGUAAAAUUUCUCUGUGGGUAAUCCAUUAGAAGUAAUGACUCGCAUAGACCAUGGCACACCAAAUGUACGCGCAGGUCUACCCGGCUCGCCUUUGUGUGAGUGCAGUGCGUAGCUUGUUGUUUCGUACGUGCCACUCCGUAUUAAUUCGUACGUGGGGAUAGAUCAUUGUUUAAUUGUUGGUCUCGGUCUUAACUAGGAAUGCCUUGUACGGGUCUCUGGUUCAACAUACCACCCGGAAUACGUCCCUGCCCUUUGUACACACCGCCCGUCGCUCUUACCGAUG